rnacentral:rRNA from 1 species
GACAGAGGGUGCAAACGUUGUUCGGAAUUACUGGGCGUAAAGCGCGUGUAGGCGGCGUGUCAAGUCAGGCGUGAAAGCCCCGGGCUCAACCUGGGAACCGCGCUUGAGACUGGCAUGCUCGAGUUCGGGAGAGGAUGGUGGAAUUCCCAGUGUAGAGGUGAAAUUCGUAGAUAUUGGGAAGAACACCGAUGGCGAAGGCAGCCAUCUGGACCGACACUGACGCUGAGGCGCGAAAGCGUGGGGAGCAAACAGG